rnacentral:rRNA from 1 species
UGGGGAAUAUUGGACAAUGGGCGAAAGCCUGAUCCAGCCAUGCCGCGUGUGUGAAGAAGGCCUUUUGGUUGUAAAGCACUUUAAGCGAGGAGGAGGCUACUUGGAUUAAUACUCUAGGAUAGUGGACGUUACUCGCAGAAUAAGCACCGGCUAACUCUGUGCCAGCAGCCGCGGUAAUACAGAGGGUGCGAGCGUUAAUCGGAUUUACUGGGCGUAAAGCGUGCGUAGGCGGCUUCUUAAGUCGGAUGUGAAAUCCCUGAGCUUAACUUAGGAAUUGCAUUCGAUACUGGGAAGCUAGAGUAUGGGAGAGGAUGGUAGAAUUCCAGGUGUAGCGGUGAAAUGCGUAGAGAUCUGGGAGAAUACCGAUGGCGAAGGCAGCCAUCUGGCCUAAUACUGACGCUGAGGUACGAAAGCAUGGGGAGCAAACAGG